ACUCCGACCGGCAUCCAAAGGACGGGCAGCCAACGUAAACCAAUCCGGCCUCCACAGUGCCCACUCUCCUCACGGUCUUGUGGACCAUGGGAGGAGUCAUUAUGAGGCUUAAAAAUCAGGGCCCUGACUUCAAGGGUCUUGACAUGAGGAAAUGAUCUGCCCACACAUAAAGACUGCUACCUCUGCUCACCCCUGGCCCAGAUGCAUGGAGAGGACAGCACCAAAGGAACCAGAGUUCUGUAAACCAUUAAGCAAGCCACGAAUAGGGUCAGCAGCAUGGAACAGAACUAAACAACUUUCUAAUUUC